rnacentral:rRNA from 1 species
CUCCGUUGAUCCUGCCGGACCCGACUGCUAUCAGAGUGAGAUUAAGCCAUGCGAGUUAACGUAGCAAUACGUGGCGCACGGCUCAGUAACACGUAGUCAACAUGCCCAGAGGACGUGGAUAACCUCGGGAAACUGAGUCUAAACCGCGAUAAGUGAGGAUUUCUGGAAUGGUUCCUGACUAAAAUCUAUAUGGCCUCUGGAUUGGACUGCGGCCGAUCAGGCUGUUGGUGAGGUAAUGGCCCACCAAACCUGUAACCGGUACGGGCUCUGAGAGGAGGAGCCCGGAGAUGGGCACUGAGACAAGGGCCCAGGCCCUAUGGGGCGCAGCAGGCGCGAAACCUCUGCAAUAGGCGAAAGCCUGACAGGGUUACUCUGAGUGACUUUCGCUAAGAAAGUCUUUUGGCACCUCUAAAAAGGGUGCAGAAUAAGGGGUGGGCAAGUCUGGUGUCAGCCGCCGCGGUAAUACCAGCACCCCGAGUGGUCGGGACGAUUAUUGGGCCUAAAGCAUCCGUAGCCGGUUCUGCAAGUCCCCCGUUAAAUCCAGCUGCUCAACAGAUGGGCCGCGGAGGAUACUACAGAGCUAGGAGGCAGGAGAGGCAAGCGGUACUCAGUGGGUAGGGGUAAAAUCCGUUGAUCCAUUGAAGACCACCAGUGGCGAAGGCGGCUUGCCAGAAUGCGCUCGACGGUGAGGGAUGAAAGCUGGGGGAGCAAACCGGAUUAGAUACCCGGGUAGUCCCAGCCGUAAACGAUGCAGACUCGGUGAUGGGUUGGCUUCGCGCUAACCCAGUGCCGCAGGGAAGCCGUUAAGUCUGCCGCCUGGGUAGUACGGUCGCAAGACUGAAACUUAAAGGAAUGGCGGGGGAGCA